AUUGAACGCUGGCGGCAUGCCUUACACAUGCAAGUCGAACGGUAACAGGUCUUCGGAUGCUGACGAGUGGCGAACGGGUGAGUAAUACAUCGGAACGUGCCUAGUAGUGGGGGAUAACUACUCGAAAGAGUGGCUAAUACCGCAUGAGAUCUACGGAUGAAAGCAGGGGAUCGCAAGACCUUGUGCUACUAGAGCGGCCGAUGGCAGAUUAGGUAGUUGGUGGGAUAAAAGCUUACCAAGCCGACGAUCCGUAGCUGGUCUGAGAGGACGAUCCGCCACACUGGGACUGAGACACGGCCCCGACUCCUACGGGAGGCAGAAGUGGGGAAUGUUGGGCAAUGGGCGCAAGCCUGAUCCAGCAAUGCCGCGUGCAGGAUGAAGGCCUUCGGGUUGUAAACUGCUUUUGUACGGAACGAAAAGCCCCGGGUUAAUACCCUGGGGUCAUGACGGUACCGUAAGAAUAAGCACCGGCUAACUACGUGCCAGCCGCCGCCGUAA
rnacentral:rRNA from 1 species